rnacentral:tRNA from 1 species
AAGUCUUAAGUUAAAAAAACUAAUAGCCUUCAAAGUUGGAAAUAUAAUUUUAGACUUUGA